UAGGGAAUCUUCCGCAAUGGACGCAAGUCUGACGGAGCAACGCCGCGUGAGUGAAGAAGGAUUUCGGUUCGUAAAACUCUGUUGUUAGAGAAGAACAGCGCAUAGAGUAACUGUUAUGCGUGUGACGGUAUCUAACCAGAAAGCCACGGCUAACUACGUGCCAGCAGCCGCGGUAAUACGUAGGUGGCAAGCGUUGUCCGGAUUUAUUGGGCGUAAAGCGAGCGCAGGCGGUCAAUUAAGUCUGAUGUGAAAGCCCCCGGCUCAACCGGGGAGGGUUAUUGGAAACUGGUUGACUUGAGUGCAGAAGAGGAGAGUGGAAUUCCAUGUGUAGCGGUGAAAUGCGUAGAUAUAUGGAGGAACACCAGUGGCGAAGGCGACUCUCUGGUCUGUAACUGACGCUGAGGCUCGAAAGCGUGGGUAGCAAACAGG
rnacentral:rRNA from 1 species